rnacentral:rRNA from 1 species
CUACGGGAGGCAGCAGUGGGGAAUAUUGCGCAAUGGGCGAAAGCCUGACGCAGCGACGCCGCGUGAGGGAAGAAGGCCUUCGGGUCGUAAACCUCUGUCAGGAGGGAAGAACCCUGUGAAGUCGAAUAGGCUUUGCAGCUGACGGUACCUCCAGAGGAAGCACCGGCUAACUCCGUGCCAGCAGCCGCGGUAAUACGGAGGGUGCGAGCGUUAAUCGGAAUCACUGGGCGUAAAGCGCACGUAGGCGGCAAACCAAGUCGGGUGUGAAAGCCCUCGGCUCAACCGAGGAAUUGCACUCGAAACUGGUUUGCUCGAGUUCUGGAGAGGGUGGCGGAAUUCCCGGUGUAGGAGUGAAAUCCGUAGAUAUCGGGAGGAACACCAGUGGCGAAGGCGGCCACCUGGACGGGAACUGACGCUGAGGUGCGAAAGCGUGGGGAGCAAACAGGAUUAGAUACCCCAGUAGUC